rnacentral:rRNA from 1 species
UGGGAUUGAGAUGCGGCCCAGACUCCUUCGGGAGGCAGCAGUCGAGAAUCUUCCACAAUGGACGAAAGUCUGAUGGAGCGACGCCGCGUGAGGGAUUAAGGCUUUCUGAGUCGUAAACCUCUGUCAGGAGAGAAGAACAGCAUCCCUAUGAAUAGUAUGGAUGUUUGACGUUAUCUCCAGAGAAAGCUCCGGCUAACUCCGUGCCAGCAGCCGCGGUAAUACGGGGGGAGCAAGCGUUGUCCGGAAUCAUUGGGCGUAAAGGGCGUGUAGGUGGUUUUGUAAGUCGAAUGUGAAAUCUCACGGCUCAACCGUGAAAUUGCGUUCGAAACUACAAGACUUGAGUUAGGGAGAGGUGUACGGAAUUCCUGGUGUAGCGGUGGAAUGCGUAGAUAUCAGGAAGAACACCAAUGGCGAAGGCAGUACACUGGCCUGUAACUGACACUGAGGCGCGAAAGCGUGGGGAGCAAACAGGAUUAGAUACCCUGGUAGUCCACGCUGUAAACGAUGGAUACUAGGUUUUGGGGGUCUCAACCCCUUCAGAGCCGUAGCUAACGCGUUAAGUAUCCCGCCUGGGGAGUACGAUCGCAAGGUUGAAACUCAAAGGAAUUGACGGGUUCCCGCACAAGCGGUGGAGCAUGUGCUUUAAUUCGAGGCAACGCGAAGAACCUUACCUGGGCUUGACAUGGGAGCUCUCCCUUCGGGGGGGGUUAGCUAUGUGAAAGCAUGGUUAGUCCACACAGGUGUUGCAUGGCUGUCGUCAGCUCGUGUCGUGAGAUGUUCGGUUAAGUCCGGCAACGAGCGCAACCCUCGCUGUCAGUUACCAACGGGUAAUGCCGGGGACUCUGACAGGACUGCCGGUGAUAAACCGGAGGAAGGCGGGGAUGACGUCAAGUCAUUAUGACCCUUACGCCCAGGGCUAGACACGUGCUACAAUGGUCGGUACAAUGAGCAGCGAGACCGCGAGGUGGAGCAAAUCUCAAAAAGCCGGCCCUAGUACGGAUUGCAGUCUGCAACUCGACUGCAUGAAGCUGGAAUCGCUAGUAAUCGCGUAUCAGCAUGACGCGGUGAAUACGUUCCCGGGAAUUGUACACACCGCCCGUCAAACCAUGGGAAUCGGUAGCACUCGAAGUCGCUGACCCAACUUUAUUGGGGGAGGCGCCGAAAGUGAGAUUGGUGACUGGGGUUAAGUCGUAACAAGGUA